rnacentral:rRNA from 1 species
AACGCACCUUGCGCUCCUGGGCUAUUCCUAGGAGCAUGCCUGUUUGAGUGUCGUGAAAUCAUCAACCCCAGUUGGAUUUGAAAUUUGACUGGUGGCUUGGACUUGGGGGUUUGCUGGCCGUUUUGAUUCGGUCUGGCUCCCCUUGAAUGUAUUAGCUUGGACUUGUUCCUAAGGCUUCAUGGCGUGAUAAUUAUCUACGCCAUUUGACUUUGAAGCAAACUUAUGGGAACCUGCUUAUAACCGUCCUUUCGAGGACAAUCUUUGACAUUUUGACCUCAAAUCAGGUAGGACUACCCGCUGAACUUAA